rnacentral:rRNA from 1 species
AUACGAAGGUCCCAAGCGCUAUUCGGAAUCACUGGGCGUAAAGAGUACGUAGGCGGUUUGGUAAGUCAGGUGUGAAAUCCCGGAGCUCAACUCCGGAACUGCAUCCGAUACUGCCAGACUUGAGUAAUGGAGAGGCAGGUGGAAUUCUCGGUGUAGCAGUGAAAUGCGUGGAUAUCGAGAGGAAGACCAAUGGCGAAGGCAGCCUGCUGGACAUUUACUGACGCUGAGGUACGAAGGCUAGGGGAGCGAAAGGGAUUAGAUACCCUAGUAGUCC